rnacentral:sRNA from 1 species
UAUCAAAUGGUUCGAAAUUUGUGAGAGA